UACGGAGGGUGCAAGCGUUAUCCGGAUUUACUGGGUUUAAAGGGUGUGUAGGCGGACUUUUAAGUCAGCGGUGAAAUCUCCGGGCUUAACUCGGAAAGGUCAACUGAUACUGUGCGACUAGAGUGCAGAAGGGGCAACUGGAAUUCUCGGUGUAGCGGUGAAAUGCGUAGAUAUCGGGAGGAACACCAGUGGCGAAGGCGAUCUUCUGGACGGAUACUGACGCUGAGGCGCGAAAGCUAGGGGAGCAAACGGG
rnacentral:rRNA from 1 species